rnacentral:lncRNA from 1 species
CUUCCGAACAGGGUGCAGUGGGGGGAGGUUGAAAAACUGGACCUCCACUGAAAACAACCCUUUACAACCCACAAAUGGACUGACACGAGGUAGAGACAGUUGACACCCUUAGACAGCAUUUAAAGAUUUUUUUAAAACCCCUAUGAGGAACCAAUGGUUCGUCUCUUCAUCAAUGGGUAAAAGCGGCUUUACCUGAAUCAAAGGGAGGACCACUCCACAAACUUCAACCAGAUGCCAUGGGAGGACCAGGACUGUACUCUACACAUCAUGUUUGUUGCUUUCGUGGUCAGUCUUCUCAUUGCAGCUGUUGUAUGGGCCCUGGGAGGAGCAGAACAGCCCAGAGUGAGAAGUGUCCACAAUGCAACUGAAGAAUACAACACCAGCAUAGUCCCACGGUGGGACUUAAAUAACAGCUGCUCCAGCUCGAGUCAACGGCAGGCUCAGGACAGGAGUCAAGCAAACAAUAGCCGCUAUUGUCAAUGCAUCCACUUGACGAGCAUCACAGCCGGAAUCAUGAGGGGAAAACUUGGUGGAUUUGGCAUGGGUUCUGAGAUCCUCAAAAGGUUCUACAGCUGCAACAUCGAGAGCAUCCUGACUGGUUGCAUCACUGCCUGGUACGGCAAUUGCUCGGGCCUCUGACCGCAAGGCACUACAGAGGGUAGUGCGUACGGCCCAGUACAUCACUGGGGCUAAGCUGCCUGCCAUCCAGGACCUCUACACCAGGUGGUUUCAGAGGAAGGCCCUAAAAAUGGUCAAAGACCCCAGCCACCCCAGUCAUAGACUGUUCUCUCUACUACCGCAUGGCAAGUGGUACCGGGGUGCCAAGUCUAGGACAAAAAGGCUUCUCAACAGUUUUUACCCACAAGCCAUAAGACUCCUGAACAGGUAAUCAAAUGGCUACCUGGACUAUUUGCAUUGUGUGCCCCCCCACCCCUCUUUUUACGCUGCUGCUACUCUCUGUUUAUCAUAUAUGCAUAGUCACUAACUAUACAUUCAUGUACAUACUACCUCAAUUGUCCCGACCAACCAGUGCUCCCGCACAUUGGCUAACUGGGCUAUCUGCAUUGUAUCCCACCCACCACCCGCCAACCCCUCUUUUACGCUACUGCUACUCUCUGUUCAUCAUAUAUGCAUAGUAACUUUAACCAUAUGUACAUACUACCUCAAUCAGCCUGACUAACCGUUGUCUGUAUGUAGCCUCGCUACUUUUAUAGCCUCGCUACUGUAUAUAGCCUGUCAUUUUACUGUUGGUUUAUUUCUUUAGCUAUCUAUUGUUCACCUAAUACCUUUUAUGCACUAUUGGUUAGAGCCUGUAAGUAAGCAUUUCACUGUAAGAUCGUAUUCGGCUCACGUGACAAAUAAACUUUGAUUUGUUCACUGCUUAAUCAUACAGUAAAAACUGAACUGAUGGUAGAAAACACCUCCUGCAGGGCCUCCCGAGAGUCACAGUGGUCUAAGGCACUGCAUAGCAGUGCUAGUGUCACGUCCUGACCAGUAUAAGGGUUAUUUGUUAUUGUAGUUUGGUCAGGACGUGGCAGAGGGUAUUUGUUUUAUGUGGUUCGGGGUGGUGUUUUUUGUAGAAGGGUAUUUGAUUUAUGUAUUCCGGGGUUUUAGGGCACUGUUUCUUUUUUUGCUGAGUGUGCCUGACAAGACUGUUUUGUUGUUCGUGAGUUUGUUUUGUUUUGUUGUUUUUGGUGUUUUUGGUGUUCUUGUUAUUUAAAUAAAUAUACAUGAUGAGCAUACACAUUCCUGCUGCGUUUUGGUCCUCCAUUCCAGACGACAACCGUGACAGCUAGCUGUGCCUCUAGAGAACCUGGUUUGAGUCCAGGCUCUGUUGCAGCCGGUCACGACCAG